ensembl:miRNA
AAUAAUGAAAACUGGAGUUUCAUUUAGAUUAUUUAUUUAUUUGUGUGUGUGAGAGAGGCAUAUACACACAUGCACAUACACAGAGAAACAAAGAGACAGGCAGACAAAAGUUGA